rnacentral:rRNA from 1 species
CGAAAACGAAUUCUCUCUUGAGUGGAUCCUGAGUACGACGGAGCACGUGAAAUUCCGUCGGAAUCUGGGAGGACCAUCUCCUAAGGCUAAAUACUCUCUAGUGACCGAUAGUGAACCAGUACCGUGAGGGAAAGGUGAAAAGUACCCCGGAAGGGGAGUGAAAGAGAACUUGAAACCGUGUGCUUACAAGUAGUCAGAGCCCGUUAAUGGGUGAUGGCGUGCCUUUUGUAGAAUGAACCGGCGAGUUACGAUCUGAUGCAAGGUUAAGCAGAAAAUGUGGAGCCGUAGCGAAAGCGAGUCUGAAUAGGGCGAAUGAGUAUUUGGUCGUAGACCCGAAACCAGGUGAUCUACCCUUGGUCAGGUUGAAGUUCAGGUAACACUGAAUGGAGGACCGAACCGACUUACGUUGAAAAGUGAGCGGAUGAACUGAGGGUAGCGGAGAAAUUCCAAUCGAACUUGGAGAUAGCUGGUUCUCUCCGAAAUAGCUUUAGGGCUAGCCUCAAGUGAUGAUUAUUGGAGGUAGAGCACUGUUUGGACGAGGGGCCCCUCUCGGGUUACCGAAUUCAGACAAACUCCGAAUGCCAAAUAAUUUAACUUGGGAGUCAGAAUGUGGGUGAUAAGGUCCAUAUUCGAAAGGGAAACAGCCCAGACCACCAGCUAAGGUCCCAAAAUAUAUGUUAAGUGGAAAAGGAUGUGGCGUUGCCCAGACAACUAGGAUGUUGGCUUAGAAGCAGCCAUCAUUUAAAGAGUGCGUAAUAGCUCACUAGUCGAGUGACACUGCGCCGAAAAUGUACCGGGGCUAAACAUAUUACCGAAGCUGUGGAUUGUCC